UAAAACUUGCUUAGCAUGAGUAGCUAAAUUUGCUGAAGCCUUAGGCCGCACUCCCUAGUUCAGUGAGAAAGGGCCCCAGAGCUGGUGCAGACUGGAAGGAUAAGGGAGUUACAAGCAGUUUGCAUUCCUAUGCGUCACACUCCAGGAGGGAGGAUGUCAAGGCUUUGAAAUAAGGCCUGCUUGGGCGCCAGGACACUGGGAAACAAAGCCUCCCCUCACUGCUGAAACAGUGUUAAUUAGGGGGGGUCUGGAUUAUAUCCUCCUCGUCAGGACCUUGGAAGAUAACACCUACUGUCACUGCUGGGGCAGUGCUAAUUGCUGGAACAACGCCUGUUGGUCAGGGCCCUGAGAAAGAAGGGCAGAACCCGAGGAAUCAACACAUUUGUCAGCAGAAACCGCAACAGUAAAGAUAAGGGAGAAAAGCAGCCUGCCUGGGAACAAUGAUGAGACCCAAUAGGGAGCAGGAGACCCCAGACCCAAAAAUUACUAUUGGUCUGAACUACCGCGUGAGGGGCGGGAAACUUAAUUUGAAAAAAGCUAUAAUUGCCCAGGGAUUUCUUUGUUCGGGGUCCCUCUUCGGAGGCACCCAACUCGAGCUGUAACUACUGCACGCGUGUCAUUACAAUUUAUUUAUUUAAUUUGCCUUGAUUUGGCUCCAAACUUUUCAGCGGGAACCUAGGGUCGGACCCUGCUCGAGUUGUAAUUACUGCACGCGCAUCGCUAAAAUUUACACCCAGGGUGAAGAGGACCAACGGGACGCCGCUGGAUCCACGGGUGAUAUGAGGACUUCAAGAACUUGCUCAUGCUCAUGAUACCGUAUGAGAUGUCUCAUGCUAUAAACCUGAGAUGUUACAACUUGAAGAUUUUCAGUAGUGCAUUAAAGACAAACUAGAUGAACAUGAUGCUACUGUAGCCACUUGCUAUCCAAAACAGUUUUGCAGUAAGGAUUCAUACAGGUACUCUUUUAUGAAUAGAGACAUUUAUUUGGAUUCAUUCGAUUCUACCAUACUACCAGUGAUUCAUGCUAUCCGAAGGCACUCCCAAAGCGACCACUCAGCAGGACUGAAUGAAUUAGAGGCUAUCACACUGUGUGCAGUCACUGACAUGAUCGCAAUGCCGUACUCCUUGGGACAGACUGACGCUCUUCGCAGGAUACUAAGAGGAGGCAACGUUUUCCUGUGAGAAAUCCACAUGGGAAGAAUUGGUAAUCUCAGAUGGUCUGAAGCAAGUGUCUACACAUACCUCAUAAAGGAUAAUUUCAUUAUUAUCUCAGGAUAACUGAAUGGCUUUGGAUGCUGUUGCCAGGAGAGGACGGUCCCUUCAGGUUGGAAUGCAGCCAUGUGUUAGGCUCCAGUUUGGAAUCACUCACGGUUAUGGUUUAUGUUUACUUACUUCCUAUGUUUGUUCCACAUCUGUACUGGGUUUAUUCAACGGGAGGGAAUCUAGCAGCAAGGUUGUAUCAUGCUGGCUGCAUCUACAACUCUUGCUGAAUUAUGUGGCACACCUGGUGAUCCUGAUCUAGCAGUCAUGAAUACCCGAUACCUAGACACUGUAGAUCCUUAUGUGGUUCCUAUGUAGAAACCAAGGUAAAAGGGACACAAGGAAGUGACUGCUGCACACCUGGUUCUUACUGAACUAAGAGAUAGGGACAUGUGUGAAAUAUAGUCCCUGAUCCAAAAACUGAAUAUCCAACAAUACUGAUAUAUCUAUAUACGUUCAGCUGAGCACUAAACUCAAGGUGAAAAAACAGAUUUAUGCUUGCUGUUGUUACCAAAAUACACACGUGACAAAAUGUUCUGUGUAGAAUGCGUUAAUUAUUGAUUUAGGCUACUUGAAUCCACACAUAAAGCAUCUGUGCCACGCUCAGCAGGUGCCUCUUGCAGUAUUUUGACUGGCAAUUACAACAAGUAAGCCACUGCAACUUGAGAAAGGUACAAGAAAAAUAGCCAGAAGUACACAAAUACACUGAUCCUAUUUGCAGCCCAGAACAGUCUUCUAAAUACUUCUCCAACAGUGUAAAGAGUAACUGAUAAUUGCAAGAUUUCUUAAGGUGCUAAGAACAAAGUACAAAGUAAAAGAAAAAAUACAGUCUGGAGUUGAGAGAAUAUAAACAUGGCUUCUUACAUACUGCACUGACAAUAUUUCAGAAAUCCAUAUCAUUUUCUUCUUCUCUGAGAAUUUUUAAUGCAUUUCAAACUAUCUUUUUUCAACUAUUGGGAGACAAACUUUGAGGAACAUACCUGUCUUCCAUGUACUUACAUACGUUUUUCCCUGCUAUUAAAUGAUCAACCACCAUUUAAUAUAAGAUAAAGAAACAUCCUUUCAUUCUUUUGUCAGCUGCUUUCAGGUAACUCUACCAUCUUAUCUGUGCAAUAUAGUAAUGCUACCAAUUUACAUGCCAACAUGUAGUUUCUCUCACUUUCCUAAACUCAAAAUUAUGUUGCCCUUAUUCAUGUUGAAUAAUCAGUGAGGCUACUCCAAAAAUUAGUAUACUACUCAAAAGAAUCAGUGUUGCAAAACGUUAGUGUAUGCCAGUGAAGUAUACCUUAUUAAGAGAAUCUGCACCUACAUCUUAAAAAAAACUUACUGAAGGAUCCCAGAUUUAAAUAGGUGUGAUAGUAUUCUGGCCAAAAUACUUUUUAAAUGACUUUUCUGCUUGCAGAAUGGAGUUGCUCCUGCAAAAAGCUGAUCCUUUCUGUGUCUGUGCUCUGGCUCUGCUUGUCAGGGGUCCUCAUGGACAUUCCAGAGUGCCUGUGCCUUAUUAAAAUGACAACACAAGUAUCAAGGACUUUCCCUUUGGAAUUUCAUAGUUCCUUGGUUUCCUCAGAAAAUACGGAAAAGAGGCCACAGAUUGAAAGGAAAAUUCAGAUCUGGUGGAUACCAAUGGAGAAACUCAGAGACUAAACUAAGCCAUGCCCAAACUUAUUUCAGAGAUGUUUUAUUUAUAACCUAAACCAGUUGGGGGCAGGGGGCAGUUGAAUCAUUCUGUAUUCUUAGUGCAGACUUCAGUUUUCCUUUCUACUAGAAAUUAUUUAAUUUCAUGUAGAUCACUGCUGGAGUGCCAAGUUUGGUACCAACAUAGACUUCACUUUUACUAAUGAGAAUGAGGUACAUUGUACUUUUUAAAAUUAAUUAGGCUGCAGACCAAAAACAUUUCACCAUCACAAACUUAGACCCAUGCUACUACAGUUACCAUUUCUACUUGCAAAAACUGCUGCAAGAGUAUAUACCGUAGGAAGUGCUGGCAGAAUUGUGCAUGACAGAUUGAUGCUCUAAACUAACAAACUUUGUGAACUAUAGUUACGUUCUUUGCCGAAUGAGUAACUUCAAUUCAGUUGAAGACAUAAAUGAGUCUCUGGCUCAAGACCAAGAACGAACUUUACUAUAAAUCCCCAGAUGUUUAUUGUACAAUCAUAAUGCUGAAACUCUAAUUACCAAUUCCAGUACAGGAUGCUAACUUGUUCAGCUGCUUCCAUUAUAAGACUUAUGUUUUCCGUAUGAGUUUCCUGUAUCCAAGUCUCACUGAGGAAUUUCAGCAUCUGUAGCCUGGAGUUCUUUUCAGUAUUUAUUUCCAACUGAAUUUACCCCAAAACUGUUCUUAUAACAUACAUGUUAAAAUUUUUCUUACAACCCUAAUUUGUGUCUAUGAGACUCAAAUAAUACAUCACACAGUGAUACAAGUUUAUUAAUUUUUGUCUUUUCUCAAAUUAGAGAUCAUUUAUAUAGUUUGGAGAUUUGUCCUUGAAACAUUCACACACUUAAAAUCUUUAUGUUUAAUUUUAAAUGUGUUCAAAAAAAAGUUUAUAGCAAAGUAGCAGAAAGCCUGAUCGACACUGAACUUUGAAAGUCUAACUCAUGAUAGAAAAGGUUUGUGUAUCUAUGGGCUGGAGUCCAUACUGCUGCUAUAGUGGAGUUUUAAAAUGUAGAGUUAACAGUAUGCUUACAUUUCUAGAGCAGAAGUAGGCCUAAGGCCUCUGUUAAUACAAAGUGUAUUGUGCAGAUGUUAUGUGGGUAGUAUUUCAUAAUUAAAACAAAGCAGAGAUUAAAAAAAAAAAAAAAGGGGAGAAAUCAACUCAGUCAUUACUUAAAAAAAUUAGAAAUUAUUUUUUAGCAUUUUUUUCACGUUAUCCUCAAGAAGACACAAGAGACAAAGGACUUUGACAUAGUUGAAGUAGCUUAUUUCAUGUCUUAAUUUGCCUGGAAGAGGUAACCAUUAAACACUUAUAAACUGGAAUUUAGUUGGACAGAUUCUUACACAGAGCAAGUUCUUGAAACUGUCAGGCAGAAAACUCAGGCUUUCUGAAACAACUUUUCAUAAUAUCUUAAAAUAUAAAGGAUGGGUACAAUGGAACAUUCUGGUUGCCUGCAAAUCAGCAAAAUAUGCUGAUAUCUAUAAACUGAGGUUUGAAUAAUAAACCUUUCAAUGUCUUCUCUCAGUUUCUCAUCUCCUUAACUUCACAGAAAGGGAGAAGGUAGCUAUUAAUAAGAAAGCCCAGAAAUGU